CCUCGGCUAAUAUGAAAAUAGAUGUAUAGAGGGUGAUGCCUGCCCAAUGGUUGUAUCUAAAAGCGGUUGAUAAAAGUUGACCUCGUAAGGACAAUUGAAUGGCCGCGGUAACACUGACCGUGAUAAUGUAGCGUAAUCAAUAGCCAAUUAAUUGUUGGCCAGUAUGAAUGGCGCCACGAAGGCCCCACUGUCUUAAGGAAAUUCCCAGUGAAAUUGAAUUCGUAGUGAAGAUGCUACGUCCAAUUUGUUAGACGAAAAGACCCCGUUGAGCUUUACUGGAGCACUUACAUGGCCCCGGCCUUCCCAUGCCUGGGAACCGGCCGAAUUUAAAUGGGCGGCUUAGAUUAUGUGGCAGCCCCCCGCUGGGGCAAAUGAAACACCACUCCCCCAUGUCAAAGGGGCUAACCCCCCCCCUUGGGGGGACAGUGUAAGUAGGACAGUUUGGUUGGGGCGACCACCUUUUAAAAAGUAACGAAGGUGCGCUUAAGGUGCGCAAUUAAUGACUGAAGCCUGACUGCGAGGGGGACACCCCGAGCAGACACCCCAAAGCCCGCCCGAAAGGCGGCGGUGGGGUGGGCCAUAGUGACCCGUUAAUUUAGAGUGGAAUAGUUAACGAUCAACGAAUAAAAGUUACCACGGGGAUAACAGCGUAAUAUCGUUAGAGAGUUCACAUCGACGACGAUGUUUGCGACCUCGAUGUUGAAUUGCGGCAUCCUGGGGUGCAGCCGCUCCCAAGGGUU
rnacentral:rRNA from 1 species